rnacentral:rRNA from 1 species
GAGUUUGAUCCUGGCUCAGAACGAACGCUGGCGGCAGGCUUAACACAUGCAAGUCGAACGCCCCGCAAGGGAGUGGCGGACGGGUGAGUAACGCGUGGGACGUGCCCUGAGGUACGGAAUAACUGCGGGAAACUGCAGCUAAUACCGUAUGAGCCCCGCAAGGGGGAAAGAUUUAUCGCCUUGGGAGCGGCCCGCGUCGGAUUAGCUAGUUGGUGGGGUAACGGCCUACCAAGGCUUCGAUCCGUAGCUGGUCUGAGAGGACGAUCAGCCACACUGGGACUGAGACACGGCCCAGACUCCUACGGGAGGCAGCAGUGGGGAAUCUUGCGCAAUGGGGGCAACCCUGACGCAGCCAUGCCGCGUGAACGAUGAAGGCCUUAGGGUUGUAAAGUUCUUUUUACCCGUGACGAUGAUGACGGUAACGGGAGAAUAAGCUCCGGCUAACUUCGUGCCAGCCGCCGCCGUAAG